AGCCUACCUUCCCCAGGCCACCCGGCUCUGUCCCCUGCAUGCCCUGGGUCAAGAGCAGGUGUUUGUGUCCCCUUCUGGUGAGAGCUUUCCAGCGCCCAGAGAGCCAAGACGGCUUGUGGAAUUGGGGAAGAGUCAGGGAGGGGGUGGGACACACCCUAAGGAAGGCCUUGAUGAGGCUCCAGGAGGCCUAGGAGGGUGUGGCACUCUCCUGCUCCAGUUGUGGGGCUGAGUCAGAAUCCUCCCAGGUCAUCUGCCCCUGGGUGUCCUGACACCCCUUCCCCUCCCCAGGGCCUCAGGCUGGCCACCGAGCCGAAAUGAGCCUAGACUCUGUGGGAUGCAGAGGCAGUGGGGUGCGGAGGAUGAGGGCUUUGGGGCAGUCAGAGCAGGGUGCCCCACUCCUUGGCCCUGUGACCUGGGCAGAGCUCCUUUGUCUCUCUGAGCCCCGGGGUUUC
rnacentral:lncRNA from 1 species